GCUCCUUGGCCAUUUGAAGAGUUGUUUUCCUCCUGGGGACGGCUGCCAACUGCACAGCUUGUUGAUCACAAAGAAGGGAUCUUGGCAGGGCACCAGCUGCAGGGAAGCCUUCUCUGAGCAGGAGACAUUUUGGAAUGAUAUCAGAAUUCCUCAUAAGGGAUAAGGGAUGUCCAAUCAUGGUCCUGGAUGGCCAGUACACUCCAGGAUUAACUGGUACAAUGAUAUAUUGAACUACUUCAGGGUCUGGAUGGAGGUUUAAUUGGUUCAAUUAAACAAUUUGGAACAGGGUUGGAACAAAGACCAGGAGUGGAAGAGACAACUUUGGGCAGCCCAGCUUUAACACAAGAAGAACAGCAGAAGAAAAGACAACAUGAAGACAAAAACCUUGAAAAGGAAUUUCCCAAGUCAACCAUCUGUAAGCACAGAAGACACCUGGGGCCCAGUUUUCCACUGUGUGCAAAUGUACUAUGGGUUGGGCAACUUGCCUGAAAUUUAUUGUAGUGGAGAAUAUAAGGCCCCGGAGUAAACAAUAAAUUAAUGCAAUAAAGGCUUCAAUGUGACAUGACCCUCAAAUAUUUCUUAUCAGCAUUGCGUUGCAAGCUUCUUUUCAUCCACAAUAUUAAAUGUGGUACACAGACUGACAAA